rnacentral:tRNA from 1 species
GGUAAGGUGGCUCAGUGGUAGAGUUCUUGCCUUGCAUGCAUGAGGCCCUGGGUUCAAUUCCUCAGUACCA